GAGUUUCUUGGUUGUCCUUCAUCGUUCUCUCUUGAUGAAGGUAACACUGACACUAACAUUUCACUCAAAUUCUGUUUCUGGAUACUGAUGUUUCAUUUUUUGACAAUCCAUGACUCUGUUUGCACCAUAACAGAAACUUCAACCAUUGUCGAUGGAUUCACAGGGGUCAUGAAAUUGCCAACAAUUAGGGCUACUUUCUUGUUGUUGUUUAGCAACUUGAGAAUUUUGGCUUCUGCUAAUUUUGUAUGCAACUGUGGGCUGAGUUUUAGGUGCAGAUUAGAAGCCUCGGAGCACUAUAAGUUCUUAAUGCAUGGCUUGUCACGUGGGAUCUUCGAUUCUGAAGUGGAGAUUAUCACUUACAGAGAAUGAAAGCUCCGAAAAUUCAUGUCUAUCCCUUGCAACUUCCAGAAUCCACAGUUGUGUUUGUGAGCCAAAUAUUACCGGGCUAACUCUAAAAGUUGGCAUGAAGUCUUCACCUUUUGCUCAGAACUGUUUCCUGGGAAGAAGAGCUGAGUGGAAAAUAGCUUUUGCCUUGAACACAGGUGGAGUGUCUGGAAAUGGUGACCAACAAAGCCUCAACGAAGGCAGUUCCAAUCUUGGUGGUACUCGAUUGGGUAGGAUACUGAGUGCAGGUGGCAGACAACUUCUAGAAAAGCUGAACUCAACUAGAAAGAACUUACCCUUGAAAAUAUUCCUACUACUCUUGGGCUUCUACACGGCUAAUGCACUGGCUACAAUCCUUGGGCAAACUGGUGAUUGGGAUGUUCUGGUUGCUGGUGUUGUGGUGGCUGCAAUUGAGGGAAUUGGCAUGCUAAUAUAUAGAAUGCCUGCCACUGCAAGGCCCGGGAGGUUGCAGUCUUUUCUAGUGAUGGUGAACUUCUGGAAAGCUGGCAUAUGUUUGGGUCUCUUUGUAGAUGCUUUUAAGUUAGGCAGCUAAAAGCCCACAAGACUUUUCUUUUCAAUUUAUUGUUGUAUAUCACAAACUCUGGUUGGAAAAUCGGAACACAGCUACGCAUGCUUUUUAGGUCAAAUCUACAAGUGCAGGAUUUCUGAACUCCUCUUUGGGAAAAGGCCGUUCCCUUGUGUGUUUUCUUAUAGUUUGUUCUUUUCAUGGAUAUUUGGUAAAAUAUGAAAGCAUCGCAGUUGAUCAAAGCAAACCUACAUAUCUGACUUGCGACCAAGCUGCUUCUGUGGCAGAAUGACUUGUGCUGAGUGAGAGUCAUUGGUUUCUGGAAUAGGAUGGCUCAUAAUACAUAUUGCACGUGAAACCCUUCCAACCUUCUGAACCUGAUGAAUGAAUAGUGUCAAAUGGAGUGGAGGAGAUCACACUUUGCUGCAAUUCAUGUUUUCAGACUUCGGACAUUCAUGUAGCUCACAUUUCUUGUUAUCAUAGAAAUCUAACCUUAUCAGAUAGAUAUGAUGGAUCACAAACAACUUUCUUGCAUUUGGCUGUUUCUCCUUCUGAAGUCACACCGAUGGCUUUCCCAUUUUCGUCAAAUUCUACCUGUGUACCACAAGAUUAAAUGUGAGGAGAAAUGUACAAAAAGGAACUUGAGAGUACCUUUGCAUAUAUUGGUUAAGGUGCAUUUAGUAUACCUUCUAAUAGAGGCUUAUAAUUACUUAAAAAGUAAGUCUAAUUGAUUUUUCUCUUUUAAUAUAAUGUUUGUGAUUAAGUACUUUCUACUUUUGUUUCCUUAACCCAUAUUUGAUGAG